GUCCCAAGAGAGAACUUGAAUCACUUGUUGUAUAGGAGAUGCUUGUCUACUUCUCAAAUGGAAUGCUCUCUUGAUAUUUGCUCUGUUGACUCUUUCCAAGGCCCUAAACCACUGUCUGUAUGGCCCAGUGAAUGAUGAAUUGGACAGUGGAUUGAUGACUAGGCUCAAAGCCAGAUAUACGAGAAGGUUUAUCCAUAGCAACUUUCCUUCUCUUGGGCAUGGAGAAGGAGGGAAAGAGUUUGUGAAGCCUUCAGAGAACUCUGGAAACUUCACAGUGCUACUAACAUCAUGUCUCUAAGACUCUCAUGCCUUGAUGGAAUGCUGGCCACUUGUCAGCCUCCUGUAGACUCUCAUUCUUCCUCUUCACCGACCUCAGCG
ensembl:lncRNA